rnacentral:lncRNA from 1 species
CUCUGCAGCCCUCCGAGGUCGCGGAUCCAGUGGGAAGCGGGGGUGUGAAAAACAAGCGAGGCCUCAGCGCGGGACCACGUCCUCCUCGGCUUUCUAAUCCUCUGGGCGGCGGGGCGGGGUCCGGAGGGUCUUCUGUUGUCCAGACGCCACUCAGUUUGGAGAACGCGGCCGGCUGUCCCCUUCUCUCGCUGGACCCACCCCGUGGGACUUACGGGGCUCAGUGCAGUCGCCGGGCAUCCCGGGGCGGAGUGGGGGGUUAGGGGCAGGCUCCGCCCCCACCCGGGGCCCGGGGCACCCUGCGGAUCGGAGGGAGGGGCGCGGGCUGGGGAGCGGCCGGCUCUGCACGACGUGUUCGCAGAAGUUGUAGAAAGGCAGGAGCAACUUCGAUGCGGCGACCGUCUCCACACGUUACUUUCGGGAAGUCGGUGUUCAUCAGCUGUCUUCGUGUAUCAUUUCAACAAGAGUGAUGAAUGGUCUUCAAGAUGCCUGGUUGGACGGCCUCUGGUGGAGCUGGGCUUCGGGAGGACACUGGGCUCCCGUAGGUCAUGUUCCUCGUAUGCAGUCACACGAGGGCACAGCUGGGCCUCCAGCCUGCACUUCGGUCUGCAUCUGGACAGCACCGGCCGGCACCCUGCCUUCCCGCACUCAGGAGCCUAAACACGAAGCACCCUGUUGGUGUGUUUCCUGUGGCGCCCACAGCCCAUGCCCCAUGGGCAACACGCAUGUCUUGGUGGAAAGUGGGCGCCUGCUCCCGCAUCACCUUCCUCUGGGCGUGCAUCCUCACACCCCAAUGCUGAGGCUUCCGACCCGGGCAGGAUAA